rnacentral:rRNA from 1 species
UGGCGGCAGGCUUAACACAUGCAAGUCGAGCGGAGAUGAGGUGCUUGCACCUUAUCUUAGCGGCGGACGGGUGAGUAAUGCUUAGGAAUCUGCCUAUUAGUGGGGGACAACAUUUCGAAAGGAAUGCUAAUACCGCAUACGCCCUACGGGGGAAAGCAGGGGAUCUUCGGACCUUGCGCUAAUAGAUGAGCCUAAGUCGGAUUAGCUAGUUGGUGGGGUAAAGGCCUACCAAGGCGACGAUCUGUAGCGGGUCUGAGAGGAUGAUCCGCCACACUGGGACUGAGACACGGCCCAGACUCCUACGGGAGGCAGCAGUGGGGAAUAUUGGACAAUGGGGGGAACCCUGAUCCAGCCAUGCCGCGUGUGUGAAGAAGGCCUUUUGGUUGUAAAGCACUUUAAGCGAGGAGGAGGAGCUCUAGACUAAUACUCUAGAUGCUUGGACGUUACUCGCAGAAUAAGCACCGGCUAACUCUGUGCCAGCAGCCGCGGUAAUACAGAGGGUGCAAGCGUUAAUCGGAUUUACUGGGCGUAAAGCGUGCGUAGGUGGUCUUUUAAGUCGGAUGUGAAAUCCCUGAGCUUAACUUAGGAAUUGCAUUCGAUACUGGGAGACUAGAGUAUGGGAGAGGAUGGUAGAAUUCCAGGUGUAGCGGUGAAAUGCGUAGAGAUCUGGAGGAAUACCGAUGGCGAAGGCAGCCAUCUGGCCUAAUACUGACACUGAGGUACGAAAGCAUGGGGAGCAAACAGGAUUAGAUACCCUGGUAGUCCAUGCCGUAAACGAUGUCUACUAGCCGUUGGGGCCUUUGAGGCUUUAGUGGCGCAGCUAACGCGAUAAGUAGACCGCCUGGGGAGUACGGUCGCAAGACUAAAACUCAAAUGAAUUGACGGGGGCCCGCACAAGCGGUGGAGCAUGUGGUUUAAUUCGAUGCAACGCGAAGAACCUUACCUGGUCUUGACAUAGUAAGAACUUUCC